UACGUAGGUGGCAAGCGUUGUCCGGAAUUACUGGGUGUAAAGGGAGCGCAGGCGGGAAGCCAAGUCAGCUGUGAAAACUACGGGCUUAACUUGUAGACUGCAGUUGAAACUGGUUUUCUUGAGUGAAGUAGAGGUUGGCGGAAGUCCGAGUGUAGCGGUGAAAUGCGUAGAUAUUCGGAGGAACACCGGUGGCGAAGGCGGCCAACUGGGCUUUAACUGACGCUGAGGCUCGAAAGUGUGGGGAGCAAACAGG
rnacentral:rRNA from 1 species